AAGGGUGCAAGCGUUACUCGGAAUUACUGGGCGUAAAGGGUGCGUAGGUGGUUUUUUAAGUCCGUUGUGAAAUCCCUGGGCUCAACCUGGGAAUGGCAGUGGAUACUGGAAAGCUAGAGUGCGGGUAGAGGGUAGUGGAAUUCCCGGUGUAGCAGUGAAAUGCGUAGAGAUCGGGAGGAACACCAGUGGCGAAGGCGGCUACCUGGACCAGCACUGACACUGAAGCACGAAAGCGUGGGGAGCAAACAGGAUUAGAUACCCUGGUAGUCCACGCCCUAAACGAUGCGAACUGGACGUUGGGAGCAACUUGGCUCUCAGUGUCGAAGCUAACGCGUUAAGUUCGCCGCCUGGGGAGUACGGUCGCAAGACUGAAACUCAAAGGAAUUGACGGGGGCCCGCACAAGCGGUGGAGUAUGUGGUUUAAUUCGAUGCAACGCGAAGAACCUUACCUGGUCUUGACAUGUCU
rnacentral:rRNA from 1 species